AUACUUACCUGGCGCCGGGGCCAGCUGUGGUCACGUUGGCAGCUCCCCCAGGGUGAGGCUUGACCAUUGCACUUGGGUCUGGCUGACCCCUGCCACUACCCCAAACUGGGGCAGAUGGGGCGUGUAAUUUGUGGUAGCUGGGGACUGCGUUCGCGCUCUCCCCUU
rnacentral:snRNA from 1 species